GGGCAGUAGAGGGGUACGCGCCUUACAGAUCCUUUCCUCUGUUAAGUGUAAGGGAUGGGAGUAAAGAGCUAAGGAAGAAUGCCUCCCACCAGCAUCUGACACAUUAAAAAAAUUACCGUGAGGACAGAGGUUCUUUAGAGUCACUCUUCGCUAACAUUUAUUUUCAUUUGUUUUCCACAAGCUGAAUCAUGACCCUAUAGCCCCCCACUGUACACCAAGGUCGUAUUGAUUGAAUUGUUAACAAACAAGUCUGCAGGGAAGCCUCUCUGGGAGAUGUUGUGUUUCUGGUGGACACCAACAUCAACCCCCAACAUGCACGCAGUGUGCGGAACUUCUUGUACAUUCUGGUAAACAGCUUCAACGUCAGCAGUGAGACCAUCCGUGUGGGUCUGGCCAAGUAUAGCGAUGUGCCCCAUUCAGAGUUCUUGCUUUCCACCUACCACCGCAAAGGUGAUGUGUUGAGACACAUUCGGCAGUUUCAAUUUAAGCCUGGGGGCAAGAAGAUGGGCCUGGCCCUGAAGUUCAUUCUAGACCACCACUUCCAGGAAGCAUCAGGGAGCCGGGCAAGCCAAGAGGUACCUCAGAUCGCCGUGGUGAUCAGCAGUGGGCCAGUUGAGGACCAUGUCCAUGGACCUGCGAAGGCAUUGAGGAAGGCAGGCAUCCUGCUUUAUGCUAUUGGCGUCAGAGAUGCAGUUUGGGCAGAGCUCAGGGAAAUUGCCAGUAGUCCUCAGGAGAAUUUUACCUCCUUUGUUCCUAACUUCUCUGGUCUGAGCAAUCUCGCCCAGAAGCUGCGGCAGGAACUCUGUGAUACGUUGGCAAAGGCAGCUCCACAUGUUGACCACGUCUCUCCAGCUUGCAGAGAAGCAGCCCUGGCAGACAUUGUGUUUCUAGUAGACAGUUCAACUAGCAUCGGACCCCAAAACUUCCAGAAAGUCAAGAACUUCCUUUACUCCGUCAUCUUGGGGCUUGACAUCAGCAGUGACCGUGUCCGAGUGGGACUUGCCCAGUAUAAUGACAACAUCUACCCAGCCUUCCAGCUGAACCAGCACCCUCUGAAGAGCAUGAUCUUGGAGCAGAUCCAGAAUCUGCCAUACCGCACAGGAGGCACAAACACAGGGAGCGCCCUGGAGUUUAUCAGGACCAACUAUUUGACUGAGGAGUCUGGCAGUCGGGCCAAGGACAGAGUUCCUCAGAUAGUUAUCCUGGUGACUGACGGGGAGUCAAAUGAUGAGGUCCAGGAGGUGGCUGACCGGUUGAAAGAAGAUGGAGUUGUUGUGUUAUGUGGUAGGGGUCAAUGUCCAGGAUGUCCAAGAGUUGCAAAAAAUAACCAGUGAGCCAUUUGAGAAGUUUCUCUUCAACACUGAAAACUUCAAUAUCCUGCAGGAUUUUUCAGGAAGUAUUCUUCAGACUCUGUGCUCAGCAGUGGAGGGUAAGAUAAAAGCGUGCGCAACUGCUGUCCCGGCUGACUUAAUAUUCCUCAUUGAGGAAUUUAGCAGGGUUAGGCAACCCAAUUUCCAACAAGUUGUCAAUUUCCUAAAGACCAUUGUCAGUUCUCUAAACAUUCGUCCUGAUACUGUGAGACUUGGCUUGGUCUUCUACAGUGAGGAACCACGACUUGAAUUUUCACUGGAUGCAUUUCAGAAUCCAGCCAAAAUCUUGGAGCAUUUGGACAAAUUAACCUACCGGGAAAGAAAAGGAAGGACGAAGACUGGUGCUGCAUUAGAUUUCCUGAGGAACGAGGUUUUCAUUCAGGAGAAGGGUAGCCGGUCCAACCACGGUGUGCAGCAGAUAGCUGUAGUCAUCACGGAAGGCUUCUCCCAAGACAGAGUAUCUAGACCCGCUUCCCACCUCCGAAGGGCAGGCGUCACCAUCUAUGCAGUGGGCACCCACAAUGUCUCAGAGAGUAAGGACCUGGAGAAGAUAGCAUCAUAUCCUCCUUGGAAGAAUUCAGUCCCCCUGGAAUCCUUUUUGCAGCUCUCCAUAGUAGGAAGCAAGCUUACACACCAGCUCUGCUCUGAGAUGGUGGACAGUAAAGUUUCCAUUAGUGGGACGAGCUAUCCCCUACAAGAAGGUUGUGUGCACAUCGAAAAGGCAGAUAUUUACUUCCUUAUUGAUGGGUCUGGCAGCAUCUAUCCAGAAGAUUUUCUUGAGAUGAAGGUGUUCAUGAAUGAAGUGAUAAAGAUGUUCCAGAUCGGGCCCAACAGAGUACAGUUUGGAAUCAUUCAGUACUCAGACAAAAUUAAAAGUAA